AUACGGAGGGUGCAAGCGUUAUUCGGAAUCACUGGGCGUAAAGGACGCGUAGGCGGGUUAUUAAGUCGGGUGUGAAAUCCAAUGGCUCAACCAUUGAACUGCAUUCGAAACUGAUAACCUAGAGUAUGGAAGGGGCAGGUGGAAUUAGUGGUGUAGGGGUAAAAUCCGUAGAUAUCUCUAGGAAUACCGAAAGCGAAGGCGACCUGCUGGGACAUUACUGACGCUGAGGCGUGAAAGCGUGGGGAGCAAACAGGAUUAGAAACCCUAGUAGUCC
rnacentral:rRNA from 1 species